GACGAACGCUGGCGGCGUGCUUAACACAUGCAAGUCGAACGGUAAGGCCCUUCGGGGUACACGAGUGGCGAACGGGUGAGUAACACGUGGGUGAUCUGCCCUGCACUUCGGGAUAAGCCUGGGAAACUGGGUCUAAUACCGGAUAGGACUCCGGACUGCAUGGUCUGGGGUGGAAAGCUUUUGCGGUGUGGGAUGGGCCCGCGGCCUAUCAGCUUGUUGGUGGGGUGAUGGCCUACCAAGGCGACGGCGGGUAGCCGGCCUGAGAGGGUGACCGGCCACACUGGGACUGAGAUACGGCCCAGACUCCUACGCGAGGCAGCAGUGGGGAAUAUUGCACAAUGGGCGCAAGCCUGAUGCAGCGACGCCGCGUGAGGGAUGACGGCCUUCGGGUUGUAAACCUCUUUCAGCAUCGACGAAGCGAAAGUGACGGUAGGUGCAGAAGAAGGACCGGCCAACUACGUGCCAGCAGCCGCGGUAA
rnacentral:rRNA from 1 species